UACAGAGGUGGCAAGCGUUGUUCGGAAUUACUGGGCGUAAAGGGCGCGUAGGCGGCCCGUCAAGUCCCGUGUGAAAGCCCCCGGCUCAACCGGGGAACUGCGUCCGAUACUGGAGGGCUUGAGUGUGGGAGAGGGAUGCGGAAUUCCAGGUGUAGCGGUGAAAAUGCGUAGAUAUCUGGAGGAACACCGGUGGCGAAGGCGGCAUCCUGGACCAAUACUGACGCUGAGGUACGAAAGCGUGGGUAGCGAACGGG
rnacentral:rRNA from 1 species